CACUGUACUCCAGCCUGGGUGACAGAGUGAUACUCAAUCUCAAAAAAAAAAAAAAAAAAAAAAAAUUAUACUGAGCUCUUUUGAGAAUGUAUUGAUUUCAUUUCUAACUGUCCUUUUAUCGACACAUUCUAAGAAUGUAGGGGGAAAGUUUUUAAUAAUCUACUUUUAUUACACAAAGUCGUAUUGUAGUUGUUUCUUUAUUCUCAGAUUAUUAAUUAUUUGACCCAAGUUGAUUGUUGGAAGAAUGAGAAAGUGUUUGGGGACAAGGGAAUAGGAAGAUUACGGGUGAUUUGGUGAAGUACAGGGUGAUUUGAGUGAAGAUU